rnacentral:rRNA from 1 species
AUAAUAAAUUGUUUUUUAAUUAAAAACUAGAAUGAAUGAUUGAACGAAAAAUUAACUGUCUCAAAAUUAAUUAUAAUUUGAAUUUAAUUUUUAAGUUAAAAAGCUUAAAUUUUAUUAGAGGACGAGAAGACCCUAUAGAAUUUUAUAAUUAUUAUUUAUUUAAAAUUAAAUAGUUUUUUUAUAAAGGUAAAUUAUUAUAUUGGGGUGAUAAAAAAAUUAAAUAAAUUUUUUUAUUAUAAAGACAAUAAUAAUUGAUUUUUUGAUCCUAUUAUUUAGAUUAUUAGAAUAAAUUACCUUAGGGAUAACAGCGUUAUUUUUUUUAAAAGUUCAUAUUAAUAAAGAAGAUUGC